rnacentral:tRNA from 1 species
AGCUGUUUAGUUUAAGAAAAAUGUUUAUUUGUGGUAUAAAUGAUUAUAUGGCUA